GAACUCAAAUCGUGCCCAUUAUCUCUGGAUUCUGAUCCUUCAUCCUUUGCUCAGGCGAAGCUGCCAUUGAGCGAUUUGCCAAGAAUCAGGACUGCAGCCAGGAUCGGAUCUAUAAAGUAGAGCACUGCUGGACAGAACCCCCGUGAGCACAGGAUGGCAUUUUGGCAUUUAUUGCAUCAACAAGUACAGUAGAUGGGAUUGAUCUAGCUCUCAGUAAAGCCAGUGAGAAUUUUGCCACAAUUUGAUGGGGAGCAGCGUGGGGUCUUGUGUCUACAGAGCAACGUCAUCUCUGGUCCAGCCCACACAGCUGAUCACAUGCUGGACCUGAUCUUCAGUCUAGAUGUCAAGACUGAGGACAUCACAACCCUGCCACCAUGCUGGACAGCCCGUUACAUCAUUAAGGCAGUGGUCCAGCUCCUAGGGAACAAGAGUCGAUCAUGAAGAUCAUGGACUCCAACAAUUCUAAAGCAUCCUAAAGGAGACAACAGCACUCCACCCACAGGAUGGAGUUGAAGACUUGAAGAACCAUCAUUGUACACUAGCCUUCGUUCAUCGGCAAACUGGCCCCCAAAUGGGCCCCUCCUCCCCAUUGCCAAAACAGAUCUCCUUGGUUUUCUGACACUCUCUACCAGAUAGAGGAGGAGGAUGGUGGAAAAUAAAGGCUGAUACAGACAUAACAAAUUCCUCAGUGCCUAUGCUGAGGCUGAAUCACAGGUCAAGAGACCCUUCCUAUUAGCUUCCAUUGAAGCUGCCCAGUCCUGCCCAAAUGAGCUAUCCAGGGUAUUAAGCCACUUCUUCAAUCCUGAGUGCUUACAAUCUGCAUCAAAACAAGAGCACUAAGUGCUGUGAAGAUCUAUCAUCCCAGUUCUCUGGAGAGAUCAUGUACAUAUGGGAAGUCUUCUCCAUUCCUCCUAUACCUACCAACCAACAGCUCACUUACAUUCCCAGAGUCCAAUACUUUCACUCAUCAAAGAAGUUCUGGACACCCUAAAGGAGUCUUGAUCCAAGACCUGUGCAUAUAAACCGUGCCCUCCUGACUUGUGAAAGAGAGUUACGAACAACAGGUGCCACUCACGAUCGAAGUAGCUGAUGCCUGGUUCAGGGAAGGAAUCUUCUCUUCUUCUUUCAAACAUGCAAUAGUCCAACACUGAAGAAACCCACUCUGUUCCAGCCAGCUAUCAGCCAGUCAAACCUCUCAUUCCUGACCAAGCUCACAGAGAAGCUACCCAAAGGCCAAUUUCAAGCUCUUCUAAUAGAAGAUAAUGUCCUAGAACUAGCACAAUCUGGAUUCAGGCCAGGAUGUGGAACUGAAACAGCUUUAAUGGCACUGAUGAAUGAUCUUCUGCUAUCAGUCGAUAGAGGCAGAGGCUGCUCAAGACCAUCUGAUGCCUUAGGCAGAAUGCCAGUGGGCCACCCGCCUCCCCUUAGAAGUUCCAUAGCCAUAGCUUUAAUCUGAGAGAUGAAUUUACCAUAAAAUGCUGACAACAUACGAAAGUACUCUCUGCUGGUGCUAAGAUUUAUACAAGUUGCAUGAAGUUAAUAUCAAAAUGUUUCCCCCAUCCCUAUAUUAUGCAUUGCCAUAAGUGCAGCAAAUUGAUGUUAAUGGAUGCCCUUGCGUACUUUAGAGUAAUCAAAUGCAUUUUGACAUAGGAGCAUAUAGUACUGAAUGCUUUGCAUUAGCCUUUGUCACAGCCAGCCAACAGCAGAUAUGAUUGUACACAUUCUGUGUCAAAGAGAGCAAUAUAAUGCUACAAACAAACAAAAAAAAAUG